UGGGUUGUAGCUCAGGGUUAGAGUGCUUGCUUCGCAUGCAUGAGGCACUGAGUUCUAUCCUCAGCACCACAU
rnacentral:tRNA from 1 species